CCCCCCGGCGGGGCGCGCUCUCUGAGCCCCGCGGCGCUGUCUCGCAGCCUGUCCCGCCUGCGCGAGCACCGCGCCCGCUCGCGGGCUAUGCUGGCGCUGGGGGUCACGCAGAUGCUGCUGGGCUGCCUCAUCGUGGCCGUCAGCUUCGCCGCUCUGGCGCUCACCACCUCGGCCCGCGUCCGCCACUCGUGUCCCUUCUGGGCCGGCUUCUCGGUGCUGCUGUCAGGAUUGAUUGGUGUUGUUUCAUGGAAGAGGCCCCUUUCACUUGUGAUAACCUUUUUCAUGCUGCUCUCUGCAGUGUGUGUAAUGCUGAAUUUAGCUGGUUCCAUUCUUUCUUGUCAGAAUGCUCAGCUAGUAAAGUCCCUGGAAGGAUGUCAGUUGAUUAAAUUUGACAGUGAUGGUGUCUGUGUUUGCUGUGAAAUGCAGCAUCAAACGUCAGGUUGCAGUAACCUUGGAGAAAUGCUGAAACUGAACCCUCUGCAGGAAUGUAAUGUUGUGAGGUUGACCCUAAAGGACCUGUUGUUCAGUGUGUGCGCUCUCAAUAUCAUCUCCACCAUUGUCUGUGCUUUGGCAACAGCAAUGUGUUGCAUGCAGAUGGUUUCUUCUGAUCUUCUGCAAAUGUUUCUGCCGCAGCGGCCACAUUCUGCCAAUGCAGACUGCAUGACUCCACAUGGGACAGUUCUGCAUCAAACUUUGGAUUUUGAUGAGUUCAUCCCACCAAUACCACCUCCACCCUACUACCCACCCGAAUAUACCUGCACACCUGUGGUAGAGGCACAGAGAAGUCUCCAUUUGGAAUUUCCUCAUUCUCCAUUCAGUGCUUUAUAUGAAGUCACCAUUAACAGCCCAGGAAUGCUGUAUCCAACUGAGCUGCCACCUCCUUAUGAGGCAGUGAUUGGAGAAACACCUGCCAGUCAGGUCACUGGUACUGAUCAGCAAGUAUCUGAAUCAAGCUUGGGUGAGAGGAAUGCAACUCUGGGCUUCAGCACACAAGUUUCUGUUGAGAGCACCUCAUUGAUAACCUCUGAAACUGCUGAAAUCCCAGACCACAGCUGCUCCUCUGAAGAUCUUUGUUCGCUGGAAGUUCAAGGAUCUCUCCGUUCUUCAGAUUUUUCUCUCUCCUGUACAAACUGCAAAGGGGCUGCAGGCCAGAGCUGCAACAGUCUGGACUGCAGCACGCGCUGUAGGUUCAAUAGAACUCGCUCAGAAGGUUUUCCUGAUGAGGAUGUCAGUUUGCACAGCAGAAUCUCUAUGGACAAGUCUCAAGGACAGGAAAAUGAAAACUCUGCCCACGGCAGAUCCUCAGACUGUUCCUCAAAGAAUUUCAACCCCUCAGAAAGAGAACUGCAGAGUACUGCUCAAGAAGGCAGUGUCUCGUCACAUUUGAAACAAAUGAAAAUCUGCUGUGGGGUCUUUAGCCAGCCUUCUGUCCCUUCCCACACCGCUCCCUGUUUUGGGCCUGCAAAUACUUCAUCAUAUGCACGCAGUUCUGAUAGUACUGUCCAGCAGCAUCAUGUUACAGAACACCGCAUUUCAAAUAUUGUCCGAUCAACCAGUGAUCCUGUAUCUUGUUCGUCUUAUCUAGAAGGUGAUCAUUGUGCCUGGAGUCCUAUAUGUAGACAGCAUCAAGAUGCAGGAUCUUCAGCCACAUUAGAAACAGUUCCUGUUUCUGGUUCUCAUAUGGCUGCCUCUGCUUGUCAGCAUUCUUUGAGCAGUUUCCUACCAACUGGAAAACAGAGGGAUGCAAGGAACAUUGAUCUACACUUAAAGCCAAAGGCUUUGCAAACAGUCUCAAAAGAACGACCACACUCUUUAGUGGACCUUAAGGCCUAUAAAGAUACAAAAAUUUUAGUGGCAAAAUUUUUGGAACAUUCAAACUGUAAUCUCCCUCCAGAAGUACGUCAUGUAGUGAACAGUAUACGAUCAGUAAUAAAAUCUGAUGAGAGACACAUGGAAGAAGCCAUCUUCAGUGCCAAUAUUAUAGACCAGGUAAUUACAAGUUCCCAGCUGGGUGUGAAUACCUCUAGAAAGCGACUUCAGGAAGACCUUCAUCUUCAGAGCUGUGGUGCUCUGAGCUCUCCAGCGGCCUUCUUACGCAGGUCCCGUAUCACUCGCAGUUUAGAGCGGGACAGGCCUCGCAGUUUAAUUGGAGUUUGCCAGGAGACCAGCCUUUGAAAAUACUGACAGGCUGGAAAAGGGCACUGCCCUCCUGAGCCACCGCUUUUCUCCAUGUUUUAUAGUGCUGCUGAAUAGAGAGAGUUUAGGACAAAGAAGGCAGAUCAGGCCACUGUUUCAACUGGCGUUCACAGACUGAAAGAAGAGGAAAAGGUGAUGGUCCUGCAUUGCAGGCGGUCCUUAAUGCUGUAUCAGCCCUCAAAAACAAUGGGUGGCUACCUGAGCUAACAGUGCCCUGGAAGUUUGCUUUGUACCAGAAAAUGGCUUGGGCAAGAAGAGCUAUGAGAAAAGAACCCUGAGCUGCAGUGGGUGGCAAUGAAACACAGGGAAAAAGGCAGAGAUAAGUAAAAGGAACUUGGGUCUUUUUUUUUUCUUCCCCUCAGGCUUUCAGGGGAAUGCCAAGUUGGGGUUUAUGUAUUUGUAAUUUUCAGGAACUGUAAUCUAUCAUUAGAGAAUAUGAGUAAUGUUACUCCCAGUGAUCUGAAGAAUAUAACUCCCUAAAGAUACUCAUAAUGAAAACUAUAAAACUCUUCUGGAAAUGCAGCACAGCUGCUUAGACAGUAGGCCAUACCAAGUACAGUAUGAUGCACAAGGUUUUCUGGACAACAACAUAAGUCUAAGUCUUUUCUACCUAUCAGAGAAACAGUGCUUUCUUCUUUGAUGCUACAUUACGUGGUGAAGUACACAAAAGCACCAAUCCACAUGACUGGAAAACAAGGGUAUGUUUAGCCUGUAGCCAGUCACUUCCUAUUCCUUCACAUUUUAAAAUAUCUCAACUCUUGUAAGAAUAAUUCAUCAAUACCACGAUGUUUGUAGUUGUGCAGAAGUCAUCAAGAAUGUUUCUGUCUCAUUCCAUCACUUGUUUAUCACCAGUCCUUAUCAACUUACUAACUCCAGUGUAAUUGCUUUCUUUUCCUGCCCAUUACUUUUUUCCUCACCUUCUCAAAACUAACAUGCCUGGAUGUUAUAUUCUUAUUGCUAGCAGUAGACAGUAAUUACAUUUCAAUUUCAUCUGCAUUUGCAAAUUUUUAUGAAUGUUUUUGAAAGCCUUCAGUAUUGUGCACAGCUUAGAGAUAAUGUAAUUCAGUUCUUGAAAAGAUGACUGCAGCAGAGCAGUUUCAGAGCUCAGAUGUAGGUCUGAGAACAGUUUCAGUCUAGAGCUCCAACCUUUUGACAGCACCAUUUCUCCUUCACAAGCUUAAUUGCUUUAAAAUAAAGAAAAUGUUUGCUUAGCUCACAAACUGUGCAACCUGGUAAUUAUGACUGAAGGGAUAUAUAUAUAUUUAAAUUCGUAUAAUAGAAAUUAUAUUUAAAGCUGUUGCUAUAAAAUGGUGGUCAGAAAUGUUUAGUUCUGCCUAUAACUCAUACCUGUAUUUCAGCUUUUCCAAUUAAAAACAGAUAACAAAUUUUCUCUCUUCUUUUUUACGGUUUGGUAUUUUUUGCCAUAUGUAUUGAAGUCCUCAGGUCUGCUGCUUUAGACAUGAGUAUCUUCUAUUUAGCUACAAAACAAUGCCUAGACAGAUGAUGGCAACAAAGCAAGGUUAUCUACCUCUGCCAUAAGAGAUAAGGGCAUAGCACACCAUGAAUUUUCACAGGGCUGAAACGGGUAUGUACAGAAUUCUUCUGCAACCACUAGUUCUGCAGUCCUAUUUUGAGAAUGGUUCCAAGUACAUCCAUCCAAUUUUCAAUUGCAUCGGAAAUACCGAAAGAACCUAAAUUCUCAAGCAGUCACUCCAUUUCUUUCUUAAAGUACUUCUUAGUAUUUACGGCUGUCGUGGAAUUGAAUCUCAGAGUUUGACUGAAAUUAUCCUUUCUGUUGCACAGAUGUUCUGAAGCAAUAGUUGAAGUUCUUCCUACGUACUAUAGCCUUUUGCUGAAGAACUACUGAACUCUUUUGGUUGUGAAGAAACAUUUUUCCAAAUAGAGAGAAUGAGACUUUCUUAGCUCCACUGCAUUUAUUCAAAAGCUUCUAUUUCUUUAUCUUUGCUUGGGAUGGGAAAAAAAAAGAGGACUGAAAAAAUUAACUGA